CGAGGCGUGGACGCGUUGACGAGAGGCUGCCCCUCUGGGGGCUGCCGGUUAGUUAAGAAGCGCUGCGCGAUAAAUCAGUUAAGGCCCGAAUUUAGCUGUCCGCUGGUUUUGCUGAAGGCCAACUGAGGAUGUUUUGGCCUGGAAGUCCCAGGGUGUACACACUCUAAUAGAGUGAUGAAGCCUGCGCAGACUUGAGAGUUUUGGUGUGCAGUAAUUUUUCUCAUCGGCAGUAGAAGAAAAAGCCCUGUGAAGUUCAGUACUGUUUGCUGUAAAGAUUAUCAUUGAAGACACAGUUUUCUAGCUUAUAGGAUGUUACCUUGGAGUACCCACAGGAUAAAUUCUCCUGUCUGCACUAAGUCAUGUAACCUCCCCGAUCAGACACCGGGAAUGAGUUUCGUGUCCUCACUCUCUCUGGUAUAAUCUUAUUUUAUCUACACUCAUUUGUACUUACUUCCUACUUUCCCCAUUAACUUAAUUUUUAUCUUAUUUUUGGCAUUUUUGUAAAUUGCCUUAUGUUCUUUUUGGAAUACAAAUUUAUUUAAAUGGA